UUCAGGGGUAAACCUGAGAAACCCGAAAGGUCGAAAGGGGAAGAUUUCAGCGUUGUCCUCGAUCGUGGCGCUGGACGGUCGUGCGACGGACGGCGUACGCGUCGUUUCGCGCCUUUCGUUCUCCGAACUGCGUUCGAACGCGUGCACUUCUCCCCCUGUAGGACGUCGCGAUUCGUUGGGUGCCGGCCUAAGGCUCGAGGUGGAGUUCGUCCGGACGUUUCGGCGUUCGUGACGAACCCUCGGUGUUUCCCGGUCGGCUCGCUCGACGAUAUACAGAUGGCGCGGGGCCGCUACAUUAGAGUUAGCGUUCGACCUUCGGCAAGCGCGCUCCUCGCGACGGUGAUACGGACCCGGUGCCGGUCCCGUCCCCGGGCGACUGUUGGCCGAGGUGUUCUCGAAACAGGACCUUCGUCGAAAACGCCGAUCUGCGGACGCUAUAGCUUUGGGUACUUUCAGGACCCGUCUU
rnacentral:rRNA from 1 species